AGUGAACGCUGGCGGUAGGCCUAACACAUGCAAGUCGAACGGCAGCACAGUAAGAGCUUGCUCUUACGGGUGGCGAGUGGCGGACGGGUGAGGAAUACAUCGGAAUCUACUUUUUCGUGGGGGAUAACGUAGGGAAACUUACGCUAAUACCGCAUACGACCUACGGGUGAAAGCAGGGGAUCUUCGGACCUUGCGCGAAUGAAUGAGCCGAUGUCGGAUUAGCUAGUUGGCGGGGUAAAGGCCCAGCAAGGGGAGGAUCCGUAGCCGGUCGGAGAGGAUGGUCAGCGGCACUGGAAGGGGACCACCGUCCAGGGUACUGAGAUAGGCAGCAGUGGGGAAUGUUAGACAAUAGGGGGAAGCCUGGUCCAGUGGUACCGCGUGGGAUGAAAAGACCUUGGGGUUGUAAAGCCCUUUUUUUGGGAAAGAAAAGCAGCAGGUUAAUACCCCGCGGGUCUGACGGUACCCAAAGAAGAAGCACCGGCUAACUACGUG
rnacentral:rRNA from 1 species